UUGAACGCUGGCGGCAGGCCUAACACAUGCAAGUCGAACGGUAACAGGAAGCAGCUUGCUGCUUUGCUGACGAGUGGCGGACGGGUGAGUAAUGUCUGGGAAACUGCCUGAUGGAGGGGGAUAACUACUGGAAACGGUAGCUAAUACCGCAUAACGUCGCAAGACCAAAGAGGGGGACCUUCGGGCCUCUUGCCAUCGGAUGUGCCCAGAUGGGAUUAGCUUGUUGGUGGGGUAACGGCUCACCAAGGCGACGAUCCCUAGCUGGUCUGAGAGGAUGACCAGCCACACUGGAACUGAGACACGGUCCAGACUCCUACGGGAGGCAGCAGUGGGGAAUAUUGCACAAUGGGCGCAAGCCUGAUGCAGCCAUGCCGCGUGUAUGAAGAAGGCCUUCGGGUUGUAAAGUACUUUCAGCGGGGAGGAAGGGAGUAAAGUUAAUACCUUUACUCAUUGACGUUACCCGCAGAAGAAGCACCGGCUAACUCCGUGCCAGCAGCCGCGGUAAUACGGAGGGUGCAAGCGUUAAUCGGAAUUACUGGGCGUAAAGCGCACGCAGGCGGUUUGUUAAGUCAGAUGUGAAAUCCCCGGGCUCAACCUGGGAACUGCAUCUGAUACUGGCAAGCUUGAGUCUCGUAGAGGGGGGUAGAAUUCCAGGUGUAGCGGUGAAAUGCGUAGAGAUCUGGAGGAAUACCGGUGGCGAAGGCGGCCCCCUGGACGAAGACUGACGCUCAGGUGCGAAAGCGUGGGGAGCAAACAGGAUUAGAUACCCUGGUAGUCCACGCCGUAAACGAUGUCGACUUGGAGGUUGUGCCCUUGAGGCGUGGCUUCCGGAGCUAACGCGUUAAGUCGACCGCCUGGGGAGUACGGCCGCAAGGUUAAAACUCAAAUGAAUUGACGGGGGCCCGCACAAGCGGUGGAGCAUGUGGUUUAAUUCGAUGCAACGCGAAGAACCUUACCUGGUCUUGACAUCCACAGAACUUUCCAGAGAUGGAUUGGUGCCUUCGGGAACUGUGAGACAGGUGCUGCAUGGCUGUCGUCAGCUCGUGUUGUGAAAUGUUGGGUUAAGUCCCGCAACGAGCGCAACCCUUAUCCUUUGUUGCCAGCGGUCCGGCCGGGAACUCAAAGGAGACUGCCAGUGAUAAACUGGAGGAAGGUGGGGAUGACGUCAAAUCAUCAUGCCCUUUAUGACCUGGGCUACACACGUGCUACAAUGGCGCAUACAAAGAGAAGCGACCUCGCGAGAGCAAGCGGACCUCAUAAAGUGCGUCGUAGUCCGGAUUGGAGUCUGCAACUCGACUCCAUGAAGUCGGAAUCGCUAGUAAUCGUGGAUCAGAAUGCCACGGUGAAUACGUUCCCGGGCCUUGUACACACCGCCCGUCACACCAUGGGAGUGGGUUGCAAAAGAAGUAGGUAGCUUAACCUUCGGGAGGGCGCUUACCACUUUGUGAUUCAUGACUGGGGUG
rnacentral:rRNA from 1 species